rnacentral:rRNA from 1 species
GAUGAACGCUGGCGGCGUGCCUAACACAUGCAAGUCGAGCGAUUCUCUUCGGAGAAGAGCGGCGGACGGGUGAGUAACGCGUGGGUAACCUGCCCUGUACACACGGAUAACAUACCGAAAGGUAUGCUAAUACGAGAUAAUAUGCUUUUAUCGCAUGGUAGAAGUAUCAAAGUUUUUGCGGUACAGGAUGGACCCGCGUCUGAUUAGCUAGUUGGUAAGGUAACGGCUUACCAAGGCGACGAUCAGUAGCCGACCUGAGAGGGUGAUCGGCCACAUUGGAACUGAGACACGGUCCAAACUCCUACGGGAGGCAGCAGUGGGGAAUAUUGCACAAUGGGCGAAAGCCUGAUGCAGUAACGCCGCGUGAGCGAUGAAGGCCUUCGGGUCGUAAAGCUCUGUCCUCAAGGAAGAUAAUGACGGUACUUGAGGAGGAAGCCCCGGCUAACUACGUGCCAGCCGCCGCAGUAAAAC